rnacentral:rRNA from 1 species
GACGAACGCUGGCGGCGUGCUUAACACAUGCAAGUCGAACGGAAAGGCCCUGCUUUUGUGGGGUGCUCGAGUGGCGAACGGGUGAGUAACACGUGAGUAGCCUGCCCUUGACUUUGGGAUAACUUCAGGAAACUGGGGCUAAUACCGGAUAGGAGCUCCUGCUGCAUGGUGGGGGUUGGAAAGUUUCGGCGGUUGGGGAUGGACUCGCGGCUUAUCAGCUUGUUGGUGGGGUAGUGGCUUACCAAGGCUUUGACGGGUAGCCGGCCUGAGAGGGUGACCGGCCACAUUGGGACUGAGAUACGGCGCAGACUCCUACGGGAGGCAGCAGUGGGGAAUAUUGCACAAUGGGCGGAAGCCUGAUGCAGCAACGCCGCGUGCGGGAUGACGGCCUUCGGGUUGUAAACCGCUUUCGCCUGUGACGAAGCGUGAGUGACGGUAAUGGGUAAAGAAGCACCGGCUAACUACGUG